rnacentral:rRNA from 1 species
AUUGAACGCUGGCGGCAGGCCUAACACAUGCAAGUCGAGCGAGCGGCGGACGGGUGAGUCACGUCUGGGAACCUGCCUGCUGGGGGGGGAUAACUAUUGGAAACGGUAGCUAAUACUGAGUAGCAUCAGAUGGGCCAAGAUGGGAUUAGCUAGUAGGUGGGGUAAUGGGUCACCUAGGCGACGAUACCUAGCUGGUAGGAGAGGAUGACCAGCCAGACGGGAACUGAGACACGGUCCAGGCUCCUGCGUGAGGCAGCAGUGGGGAAUAUUGCACAAUGGGCGCAAGCCGUAUGCAGCCAUGCCGCGUGUAUGAAGGAGGCCUUCGGGUUGUAAAGUACUUUCAGCGGGGAGGCGUUACCCGCAGAAGAAGCACCGGCUAACUCCGUGCCAGCAGCCGCGGUAAUUC